GCAGUGGUGGUUCAGUGGUAGAAUUCUCACCUCCUAUGCGGGAGACCCUGGGGUUCGAUUCCCAGCCAGUGCA